UUUUUCAUAUACAAAAUCCCUUUUUUCCCUUCCGAUCUUAAACAUGUGGGUUAAUUCUUCUCGACAUCUUUCCAAGCAUCGACAUAUCGUUCGUGUUCGAAGACUCGACAGGUUGAGAAGGUUAAGGAAAGGAGUAGGUAAUAAAACAUAUGUCCAAAUGAAGAACUUGAAGCUAUACGUGGAGAAUCAAAUCAUCAUGGAAGCGAACGAGAGGCUGAGAGAGAAAGCUCUUCUCCUUCACCAGGAAAACAAAACACUGUUGGCUCAGCUACAAAAGAAGUUCUCUAAUACCC